GAGAUUUGUUCAUUUUCUCGCUCCUGUAGUAAGUGUGAACAUUUUUUUAGAUUCAGCACCUUCUCCAGCCCUUUGGCGUUUACUGAGAUCCAACAAUAGAACAAGUCCGGGCAUGAAUAAGAUUCAGGAAACAAAAGUAUGUCAGGCUUUGCCCUAAGACGAAACAAUCACAGUAAGUAUACCUUCGGAAAAUGCUCGUACCUUCAAGAAUACUUCGGAAACAAGUUCGGGAAGGCUCUGGAAGAUACGAUUUGUCGUGUGAUAUAAUGACGUCAUUGAAUGUUCAAUAUUUGAGAUUAAAUAUUAUUGCUGAACUUGUAUGAAUAAUCGAACUUGCUAAACGAAACCCUGGAUGAUCAGGAUGAAACGAAGAUGACAGCGCAUGAAAGUUUGCAGUCAAGCGAUCUUGUUGGUUAGCCGUUCUUCACGCUUUCCCAAUACAGUAUCUUGACAUAGUUGCAACAUUCAUCAAACCUUUAUUUUGUUAAUCUAGAGCUUGAAAUGUCCCUGUAGCAAUACGUGACUGUCAACUCUCAUCACUUAAGCCUGAUUCUCAUUUGUCGUAAACACCGGCGAUGCCCAUUGUCGGUGGUCAUUGAUGCAUGAAAUCUUUUGUGCAUUUUCUUCUUCGUAGUAGCUCACAGACAAUGGAUCGUAGAAAUCGCCGAUUAAUGAGAACCAGGCUUUAAAGCUUUAAGCAUAAUUCAUGGUAAAAAAAAUUUAAAUGAUGUCAAGAUGAUACCAAGCCGUAACUUUUUUUAUCGCUAAUUUUAUCAUUAGAUAUUAUUGACAUUGGCUAUAACGUGUGCACAGAGCUUUGGACAAUACCAGACAGGAUUAUACACAUAGGAUAGAAAUUUUAGCGGCCCUUUGUUGUAUGGAUUAAGAGCUAUGUUGCAAAUCCGGGUUGUGUCACAGCAGGUUAAUUAAUGAGGAGUUAAAUAAGAACGUGAUUCGAUUCUCGCUACGGACUCAUGUGAAAAGAGUCAGUCAACGAAAGUCGUGGGUUUUCUCCGGGGUGCUCAGGUUUCUUCUCACAGGGAAGUUGACAGGGCGGGUUAGGAUAAACACAGUUAAUUAAGAAACUAAUAUCACAAUUGUUGUAAAGAUAAAAUAGUCUACGCGACAAAAAACGCCGAGCCCUCUGCUCAACAGGAUUGAACACACUUGUCAACAAUAUUGAACAAUAUUGUUGAGCCUGAAUCGGGCGUAACAAUCUUGUUCAAGAUUGUUGACAACCAUGAACAAUGUGGGCAGCAAAACAUUGUUCAAUCCUGUUUUCAUCAGUAUUGCAACAACCUGAGCGUUUUUAUGCGUGUAGGCUCAGGCCAAGUACAGUCAGUAUGUAAUUAGGAAAGCGUAAUACUUGAUGUAAAGCGCAUUUAAUCAUAUCCACAUGGGAAUUUGCGCUAUAGAAAUGUUAAUCUUAAUAGAAUUUAAUUACAAAUCAU